ACCGCUCACAAACGUAAUGGAGAAGAAGCGGUCGAAGCCAUCUGGUGCCCAAUUUCGGAAAAAAAGAAAAGAAGAGGAGGAGAAACGAGGAAAAGAUGCAGGAGCCCUACACAGAUAUUUUGUGAUGACAUCAGCUGCCACUGAGGAACAGCCAUCUACCUCCACUGCUCAUACCAGUAGGCCAGUAUUUGAACUCGAGGAGGGACAGUCUGCUGGCACCACAUCUCCCCAGGAAGAUACUUUAGAGAGACCUACCAGUAUAUGUGAACUUGAUGAGGGACAGCCAGCUGCCACGUCUCCCCAACAAGAUACAUCAGGUAAGUUUUGCACAAGUGUGUGUGUGUGUGUGUGUGUGUGUGUGUGUGUGUGUGUGUGUGUGUGUGUGUCCUGCAAACAUUAGAGAAAUUUGAAUGUCACAUAUUGUAUUUUAAUAGAAUAUGUGAAAUGGUCCACAUAG